rnacentral:rRNA from 1 species
AUGCUGACAUGAGUAGCGACAAAGAGUGUGAGAGACACUCUCGCCGAAAGUCCAAGGGUUCCUGCUUAAAGCUAAUCUGAGCAGGGUAAGCCGACCCCUAAGUCGAGGCCGAAGGGCGUAGACGAUGGGAACCAGGUUAAUAUUCCUGGGCCAGGAGAUGGUGACGGAUUGUGAAGGUUGUUCCUCCUUAUUGGAUUGGAGGGGCCGCUGAUCAGUCCCUGGAAAUAGCCCUCCAUAAGAUCGUACCCUAAACCGACACAGGUGGACUGGUAGAGAAUACCAAGGCGCUUG